GGAGGCACUCUGAUCCAGCCAUGCCGCGUGCAGGAAGACUGCCCUAUGGGUUGUAAACUGCUUUUAUAGAGGAAGAAACAGUAUUACGUGUAGUGCCUUGACGGUACUCUACGAAUAAGGAUCGGCUAACUCCGUGCCAGCAGCCGCGGUAAUACGGAGGAUCCAAGCGUUAUCCGGAAUCAUUGGGUUUAAAGGGUCCGUAGGCGGGUAUAUAAGUCAGAGGUGAAAGUUUGCGGCUCAACCGUGAAAUUGCCAUUGAUACUGGAUGUCUUGAAUUAUUGUGAAGUGGUUAGAAUAUGUAGUGUAGCGGUGAAAUGCAUAGAUAUUACAUAGAAUACCGAUUGCGAAGGCAGA
rnacentral:rRNA from 1 species